UUUAUACUUUGGAUCAUCAUUCGCUGCUUGUUCUGCUUUUGUGAACCUGUGUUGCGCAGAUUUGAUGCUACCAAGUUGAAGCAAGGCACGGCCUAUACCACUUUGAAGGUAAACGGCAUCACUGGAAAAUUGAAGUUAAGGUGAUGCAGGAUCUGGCAAUGUGAGAGAAAAAAGAAAAAGGAAAUUUAAGAAGAGAGUUUUGUUUUAAACCAUUACCCCAUAACACAGCAGGUAUUUUAGUUACGUGUCAAUAAUUCUACAGAUUGUAUUUGUUUUAAAAUUUUGUAAUAAAAGAAGAAAAAUGGAGUAUUUUGGUACUUUUUGUUUAUUUUUUUCUAUAUACCAGCUUAAAUAUAGAAUUUCUUUUUAACUCUCAUUCGUUUAAGUUUCAGUCCGUAAUACCUUAUAGUUAUAAUUUAUUAAAACACUUACCUUUUCACAAGUAUCUUGUAAUGCAUACAAUCGUCCGAGUGCUUCAUCUGGUUUAUUAUUAUGCAGAGGAAACUGUGCAUGCAGUACACGCAUGGAGAAGGGAACCAUACUACCUCUUCUACCUGGAAAAUUUGAUUGUUUUAAACAUGAAAACUUAAAGAGAAAACACUGAUAUGGAAAAAAUGACGAAAUUUUGGUCACCAAUGGCGAAAAAUUGACAGAUCAAGACAGUAACAUAUCUACCUGUAAAGAAACUGGUGAAUUUUCACUUGGUUGGGUUGCAUGUCCAAAUCCUUGGCCAAGAUCCGUGAGAAUCUUUCCACACAAAUCAACAGCUGCUCGUAGAUCACCACUUGUCUGAAUGAAAGGAUAUCCAGGAAAAGUAGAAUAAAUGAAUAAAAGUUUAAUAUAAAUGGAUUUGAAGAAAGUCUUGUCGAAUGGCAGAGGAAACAUUAGAAAUACACUAUGUUUUUCAUACCAGAUGAGCCGUUAAAGAUUAUGUAAAUUGAUAAGUACACCACUUGCUGUGACAACACACUGCACCAGUAUUUUGUAUUGUGUUUUAAUCACUAUCACAUCUCACUUGCAUUUUUUGAAUAAAUGACAUUUAUUUA